GUUUAAUUUAAGCAUAUCAAUAAGCGGAGGA
rnacentral:rRNA from 6 species